rnacentral:rRNA from 1 species
UACAUGGGGUGCAAACGUUGCUCGGAAUUAUUGGGCGUAAAGCGCGCGUAGGCGGUUACUUAAGUCGGAUGUGAAAGCCCUCGGCUUAACUGAGGAAGUGCACCCGAAACUGAGUAGCUAGAGUACGAAAGAGGGUCGCGGAAUUCCCGGUGUAGAGGUGAAAUUCGUAGAUAUCGGAAGGAACACCGAUGGCGAAGGCGGCGACCUGGGUCGAGACUGACGCUGAGGCGCGAAAGCGUGGGGAGCAAACAGG